CACGUGAGUAACAUGCCUUGAAGUGGGGGAUAGCCUUUCGAAGGAAGAUUAAUACCGCAUGUGGUCUUUGGACCAAAGAUGCCUUCGGGUGUCGCUUUGAGAUUGGCUCGCGGCCUAUCAGUUAGUUGGUGAGGUAACGGCUCACCAAGACAACGACGGGUAGCUGCUCUGAGAGGAAGAUCAGCAACACUGGAACUGAGACACGGUCCAGACACCUACGGGUGGCAGCAGUCGAGAAUCAUUCACAAUGGGGGAAACCCUGAUGGUGCAACGCCGCGUGGAGGAUGAAGGCCCUAGGGUCGUAAACUCCUGUCAUAUAAGAGUAAGGCAUAGCAACUUAAUAUCUGUUAUGUUUGAUAGUAUUAUAAGAGGGAAGGGGACGGCUAACUUCGUGCCAGCCCG
rnacentral:rRNA from 1 species